rnacentral:rRNA from 1 species
UCGAAACCUGCCCAGCAGAGCGACCCGUGAACAUGUUCAACCUCAUGGGUGCUGGGGCGUUGCUCGGUGCCUCGUGUGCCUGMCCGCCCCUCGMCCAGGCCGGGGAGCUCCCACUUGUGGGCUGUUCCCCGGCUAACCAACGAACCCCGGCGCGUAAAUGCGUCAAGGAAUAUAAACUUUAUGUGUGUGCUCUCCUAUCGCCCGGUUAGCCGGGCGUUGGAGCGGUGCCAUGUCUUAACAAUA